GGUGGGGGGGUUGGGUCUCGUGCAUUCCUAUGUGUGGGCGCGUGGCUUCUCAUCUCUGACAGAAGCACACGGCGGCGGACUAGAAGACAGGACGGACGGACGUGCUCGGGACACACAGGCUCAUCGGCGGUCCUUUGGUGGUCUCUUCUCGAGUCUGUUUUCCUGGUGAGUGCUAAAGAGCUAGAGCAGCAGCAGAUUAAGGGGAGGACGAGUGGACAGGCUAUUGCUUUUUAUUCCCACCCAAUGGGGCCAGGGGAUGUGUGACCUCAUCGUUUACCUGCAAGGCUGUCAAACGUUAAGCAACUCUCACACAGAAUGACCGAAAUGGAUUCAGGAUACGAACAUCCUCCUCAACCCUCUGCUCUGAUGCCUGUCAUGUGAUGUCAAAACCCGCUCCUCACCAUCCCUCUGUGUCAAUCAGACAAGGAUGGAGGUCACCAUGACAACAUGAAACUGGAAGACACAGUAGGAGAUGCUUCCCGUUUUAAC